AACGUAGGAGGCUAGCGUUAUCCGGAUUUACUGGGCGUAAAGCGCGUGUAGGUGGCUCGCUAAGUCGAAUGUUAAAGCCCCUGGCUUAACUGGGGGAGGUCAUUUGAUACUGGCGGACUUGAGGGUAGGAGAGGAGAGUGGAAUUCCCGGUGUAGCGGUGGAAUGCGUAGAGAUCGGGAGGAACACCAGUGGCGAAAGCGGCUCUCUGGCCUGCACCUGACACUGAGACGCGAAAGCGUGGGGAGCAAACGGG
rnacentral:rRNA from 1 species